rnacentral:rRNA from 1 species
GACGAACGCUGGCGGCGUGCCUAAUACAUGCAAGUCGAGCGAAGUUUUUCCGGUGCUUGCACCGGAAAAACUUAGCGGCGAACGGGUGAGUAACACGUAAAGAACCUGCCUCAUAGACUGGGACAACUAUUGGAAACGAUAGCUAAUACCGGAUAAUAGCAUUAACUGCAUGGUUGAUGUUUAAAAGUUGGUUUUGCUAACACUAUGAGAUGGCUUUGCGGUGCAUUAGCUAGUUGGUGGGGUAAAGGCCUACCAAGGCGACGAUGCAUAGCCGACCUGAGAGGGUGAUCGGCCACACUGGAACUGAGACACGGCCCAGACUCCUACGGGAGGCAGCAGUAGGGAAUCUUCCGCAAUGGGCGAAAGCCUGACGGAGCAACGCCGCGUGAGUGAAGAAGGAUUUCGGUUCGUAAAGCUCUGUUGUUAGGGAAGAAUGAGUGUGUAGUAACUAUACACAGUAGAGACGGUACCUAACCAGAAAGCCACGGCUAACUACGUG